AAAACAGCAGAACUUCAAUGCUCGAUCUGAGGAUGGUACAGACAUGGUUAUCCACACUUUUACUAACUUUGUUUGGUCCUUUCAUCGACUGUGGAUCUGUCCAGGCAAAGGUCCCUCAGGCCUCACUCAGAGCAGACAGCAGGGGAAUACCAGCGGGUGGCAGUGUGACCCUCACCUGCUCUGUGGAUGCGUCUGCAGACUGGAGAUACUACUGGUUCAGAAAACAAACAUCAGAAUACUCAAAUCUUUCAUGAU